AAUCAGUCAGAAGAUUUUCCUCACUAAAUAUGCCUUUUUUGGUAAGGGAUUCACCGAACCAAAAAAACAGCGCUCUAAAAAGAAGCAACUGAGCAGCAGGGUUGUGAUCAUUAAAAAUGUUGUACUCUUCAUACAUUUCUGAUUGACUCAUUUUUGUACUCCAUUCUACUUGCUAAUUUUAUCAUAGUAUUGCAACUGGAGGAGAAAGAAUAUAAAGGGCAAAAUGACAUACAGCCCACAAUGCUUGUUGUGUUUUCCCCAGUGCCUGCAGUAGUUUCAUUAAUAACAAAGAAAAUCAUUAGAGACAUCUCAGGGGAGAUCCAAAUAUGAUGUAAAGAGACCUUGAUUUGGAUAAAAUAAAGGGUUGUUUUUAAUGUGUCAGUGGAAAACAAAUAUAGCAUCAGUAGAACUGUUUGCCAAAGACAUUAAAGAGCUAAACUGUAAUGAUGAAGCAAUGCACCUGGUACUAGUUGCUGUUAGUGUUAUUACACAGCAGGCUAAUCUACACGAGACUCUACAUUGCUGUAGCGAUGAACUACGGUGACAAAGCUCAUCGUUAUGGUGACGUAGCGUUGGCAGGCACUAACCAUGAUGCCACCACUACUGUGCAGUAGCAACAAGCUACUGCAUAGUAGCUCAUUGCUACUGCGCAGUAGGGUCAAAAACGAGCCUGCGCUCCCCGAACUGCCCUAUACAAAGUGCAGUCAGGGGCGUGUGUAGAUGUGCCUAGUAUUUCUUAUGGCAGUAAAAAGGGUAGUAAGUAAUGAUGUAGAGAAAACGAGGCAGGAUGAAAUACUGGCUUUACUGAAGUCAAUGGGGUUCUUCUUUUCAUUUCUCUAGUUUCAGGUUGUCACCUGUGAUACUUAUCUUGAAAACAUUUGUAUAACUGUGGUCAUAGCUUGAAAAGGGACUAUGCAGACAGUAGGAACAGGACAGAAGAAAGAAGCCCAGGGAAGAGCAGCAAGAUAACUUGAUUUACUAUGUAGGGUGCACAAAAACAUUUCCUCCCUGCUGCCCCUCAUGACUGUGAAGAGCUCCUGAUACACAUUUGGAAAGCUACCUUCUCCUCCUCCUUUAAGUCCCUUUUCUGUACUGCCUACAGAAAUCUUGGUAAUUGUUAACUGGUAAUCAUGCUACCUGCAAUUGUAUCAUUGUUUCUUCAUGCUUCCCUAAUUGCUCUCUGGUGUCUCUUGCCUUGUAUUUAGACCAUAAACUCUUUGGGAUGAUAGUGUCUUUUUCACUGUAUUUAUAUAAUGCUGAAGACAAUUGUUGCUGCUGAUUACCCACCUCUGUUAGCUGGCUAGCUUUGUUGUGGGCUUCACAGAAGAAGUGGGCUGUGGAUAUUGAUCUAACACCCACCAAAGUCAAUGAAAGCCUUUCCUUGAAUUUAGUGACAGUUAGACCACACCAAUGAGGAGGGAUGUCAGUAGGAAGAUACAGAGGGCAGCCCAGGAAUGGUGGCUUACAGGCAUGGGGCAGUAUAAAAGAAGGCAUGUUGCAGAAAGGCAAAUAAGCAGGAUGUUGUAGCUGGUACAAUUUGGGGAAGUGGAAAAGAUGGAGAUUUGUUUGUUUUAAUUCUAUGCAGUGUCUAAAUUAAAUUGUUUUUUCUUUUUUCCCAAUUAGGUGAAUAUUUUUACCUUGAAAAUGAGUCUCAUCACUCAAGGUUUUAAUCAGUGCAUCUUGCUACAAACAAGAAGUGUUUGUCAACUGAAAGCUUCAGCAAAGGCAGCUAUCGUAGACAAAAGCCUGCUUCAUCGGAUGCUAUGAAUGACUUGGAGAAAGCAGAGGUUCUAAACAGAAGAGAAUGAAACCAGAAAAGAAAGAUAUAUAUUUGAUUUCACUACAACUGCCUGCAAAGCAAGAUGCUACCUGUGCUCAGGGAGGUGGGCUGACUUUGGCAUAGACAAAGGCUUGAGCCAAGCAAUCAGAGUGGGCGUGCUGAUUGGCUGGUGGAUUCCCAUCAUAUCCUAUUUACACUGCAAAUAGUCCCCUGGGUUUAUCCAAACAAAGUUUGUGCAGUCAUCAGAAUGACCCCAAGGUUGUCCACCUGCCAUCAAGAUAAUAGGAUAAGCCUCAGCAGCUGGUGUAACAAGGUCAGCAUCAACAGUACAAGCCCUUGAGCCCACAGAAAGCUUUAAAAAACCUUGGUAGGCCUCUAAGUCCUGGUUAAUUUUUCACAUCUAACAACCCACUCUGAAUGAAUCAGAACAGGAGGCCUAAAGAGAAAGACCUAAGCAGGCCACAGUGUUUCACUGAGACAAUGAAGUGCUGGCUCUAGACAGUGACACCGUGAACAUAAAUGAUCUGUUUAAUAUUCAGAAUGCAGAAGUCCUAGAAAAUCAGCGUAUGUUGCAAAAAUGUCUGCAGAAAUGUGUAUCAGUGAGCAUCUAGCUCUUCUAUGGCUCUUUACAGUUCCUUACUUUGUAAUUGAAACUGCUAAUAUGCCAACCCUUACAACCUAGUGGAAUGUGCAGCUGGUGAUAAACUUAUUAAUAUUCAUCCCUGCACAAUACAGUGGAUAAGCAUUAGUCAGUAAUCUGGGAAACUGAGGCACAGUGAGGUGAUGUGCCUGUCCUUGAUGCCACUCAGUGAAACUGGGGUGGAGCCAGCAUUAAAAGUAGCUGAUAAUAGUCAUGCCAGCUACCAAAUGACCUGAUCUCUGAGCCCUGAACUCAUUAUGAAUGGCUAGGCUCUGCUUGCAGUCCUAUGAUAUAUUUUAGUUAGAGUCCUCUGUUAAUAACACAGAAAGAAGAACCUUUGGGAAAAGAAAGUUAUUAAGGUAUCAAAGUCAAGCACUAAUAUUUGUGGGAUGCCAGAAUUAAAGUUGGCUAUCCAGCCUUAGUUCAGCCCCUUGUAUGUGCACAGUCUGAGAUGGUCUUGAAUUAUACAGCAACGUACCAUUCCAUGGGAACCCUGCCUCGGAAAGGACUGUGCUCACUAAGCAGGCAGCUAUUCAAUAUUUUGCUUCCUCCUUGUUCAGUGUGGGCCCCUUGCUGUAUUUACUGAAUGUUGCUCUGAAAACAGAACGAUUCAUUUGCUUGUGGGACUUUUUAUGGUGUUCAUCAGCCUUUACAAGCAUUCAACAAACUUUACCCCUGUUAGAUGAAAGGGUUUUUAUUGUUAUAUCCUUUUUAUACGGGCAGGAAACUGAGAUGCAAAGAUGCUAAGUGUGCUUACAAAUAUGGAAAAACAAAAACAGUGCUUUGCUUUCAGCUCAGCACGCACUGAGCACAGCACUUGCCCAGAAGAGGAAUUGAGUAAUUUUGACUCAAUUCACCCCACAUCCGUAUAGCUUAUAGACUUCGGUGGGGCUUUUUGGCACUUUUAUCUAACAUUUUAUUUGAAAUGCUAUGUUUGUUCUGAUUUAGAAUGAAAACAAAUGUUUAAAUAAGGGAAGUAGAGAAAUUAUAGUCCACCUAGUGUACCAACAUAAAUUAAGCUUGUGCAACCUAAAUAUAGGUAUUUUCUAACUUUGAGGUACUUGGCUUUCCUCAAGACUCUUUUAAUGUAGCUUUUUACUUUACAUUCUUAAUAUUUUUCAAAGCUCAAACACGGAAUGAAUGAAAAAAAUCAUCUUAUGGUGCUAAACAGCCCCCCUGCUGCGUGGAUCAUCAAUAUGGUUGAGAUCUUAAGAUCCAUAGUGCAGUGUCCUACUAUCUGUAUUAAUAUAGUAUCUCAGUGUUGCCUGAACUUGUGUGUUUAUGUCAUACCACAUUGCAGUCGGUAUUUUUCACUUUUUCAAGUGUUGCUUCUGCUUCCCUUGCCACUAAUUGAUGCAAUCCCCCUUGUUGGGGAGGGAAAUCCUCUUGUGGAUACAAGCCCUUCUGUCUUGGUCUCUCCAACUUAAUUCUGUUCCCUUCAGCUCCUUUUCCUUUCCCCAGUUCUUGCCCCUUUCCAGUCCAUUGCGACUAUUGCCUCAGCUCCUGCCCCUUUCUUCCAUCUGCACCCAUUUCCAUCUGUCUCUUCUUUUCUUUGGUCUCUGGGCCAUGUCCCCCAACCCCUAUUUGUGUCCUUUCAACUUCCAUGGCUUCUGUCCCUCUUCCUAGUUUCUGUUCCUCACACCCUUCCCUUCCAUGAUAUUAUUCUGCCUCCCCAUUGACAAGCUCCUGCUCCUGUCUUCCCACACUCUGCAUCUUUUCCAACCUAAUCCCAAUGUUCUUCAUCGGCCUGUACCUGUUCUUCUCCCUUCUGCGCACACAUCAGCAACAGGAGCAUAGUGAGAACAGAAGAGACCCGCUUCUUGCUCUUGAUGCUGUUGCAGGUGACCCCGCAGCUCCAGCAGGUGGGAGGAGCGAUUACCAGCAAUGUCCUAAUCAACUUUUGCAACCCUGGGCUAAGGGGUGGCUCGGGUGAGGCAGGGCUGUGCACUGAUGCAGUUGCACCUUGUUUAAUUCCUGCUCCACCUAAAAUUUAAAACCAAUUGCCUGGCAGUGGCAGCAGCAUUGCUGUUAAGGCAGCAGUGAGAGCAUCAGUUGUAUCCAUGGCACAUUAAAAUCUACCUGAUUCCUCCUAAACUUUUCAUUCACAAGUGUUAAAGACCCUGUCUCAUUUUUAAAGGUCUUGCUGUUCCACUAUUCAAGCUAGCCUUUCUUCUGCAGUUCUAUUGUCUGUCAGGUGCUCUUGGUAAUAUAGCUCCUAUUUCGUAGCCCUGCAGACUGUUCUUAGCUCAUUCCAAUUAAGUUUUAUUUGUUCUUCGCUUCAGAGAUUGACGUAAUGGUACAGCCCUAUUUCCCUAGCAUAUUAGUAAAGUUUUCAGCUUCUUUCUACCUGGAGAAAAAUAGAUAUUGUGUAACAGGAUGAUGCACUAUAUGUACCAAUUUUCCAAAUCCUAGAUCUACCCAUGUCUGGGCUGGGACAUGCUUGGUAGAGAUGAAAUCUUAGAGAAUAUAGCUGCUAAUCACUAACCAACCUCUCUUAAGUACAUGCAAACUCGUUAUUUAGAGACUUCUUUCUCGGCCAGAUUUUGGUGGAUUUUCAUGAGUGUGGGGCAUGGACCAUGAAGGAAGCCCCCAGCCAACUCUCAAAUUCCUGAAUGAAACCAUGGGAAUAUUAAGACUUAGCGAAACAGGCGUAUGAAUUUUUAACAUGGCAAAAAAUGUGUUUUCCUUAAUGUUAUACAUGCAAAUAAGUGGAACAGUUUAGCUAAAACCUACAAAAAAUAUUCUGGGUUUGGUAGACACCCAGAAUAGAAAAUUUCUGCUGAGCUACAAGCAAAUAGUUUGCAACAGAAAACACAGUCUUAGGAUGGAAGGUGUCAGACAUCUUAAGCAUCUCACACUGUCCAUAAGUCUGUUCUCAGACCUGUGGUACCUGUGAACCUCUCCCACAGGAAAAGCUGUUAGUUUCUGUGAUUAUGCUGUACAGCAAAUAUUCUACAUAGCAGAAAUAGUUUUGCUGCUCUGGAAAUGCGUUCCAGCUGGGACUUGCUUAAGAGAUGAUGUUUUAUCUGGGUUUCUGUGACUUCUCCCUCCAAUGUCUCCUCCAAGAAAGCAACUAUAUGGUAAAGAAUUGGAGAUUAUGUUAAUAGGAGUAAAGAAAUCCACAAGUAAAACAUUUCUAUUUUAUUGUUUUUCAAUUGUCAGUCCAGCAGAUGAUUUUAAAUAUUUAAGGGAAGGGGCCUUGUCCUAUUUCACAGUGUGAGCUGCUUUUCCUCACCCUACAGUUAUCCUUUGACUAGGUUCCCUCAGAUAAUUCCCAGAAAUCUUUGUACCAGUCCCCAUAGUAUUUUAAACUUAGCACAAUGGGCGUGAGUGUAAUACUUUUGGCAUAUGAGAAAAAGGACUCACAAAUACCUGAAUCAAUUCACUUCACUGGAAGCCUGGAGAAAGAAACCCGCGGUUUCCUCUCACUGUUGCUUGUUCUACAGCAGUGUCACACAGAUUUCACUGGACUCACUCCUAAUGAGCACCCUCGUGAGGGGUGAAUCAAGUAUUGAGAUUGCCUUGUGCUCUUUGUUCUCAGGAUUUGCUAGUGACCUUCUUGAGUAUUGUAUGUAACAGUAUGGAAACCAUUCUUCUAAGAAAUGUUUUGGCUUCCAAAGAAGAUAAUUGUAUAAUUUUCUAUCUCUGGCCUGAAAAAAUGGAUCACAGACUGUUCAAAUUAAAAGGAUAAAGCACCCACAAGGUCAAAAUCAUCCACAUCAGUAUUGGUAGGUGAAGAUUUUUCUAAUUUGUGCUGUGCUGAUGCAUGAGGUUAAAGAUCCUCAUUUGUAAAUAAUCUGGGCUAUUCAGAAGGAUUUGUGAGUUGCAUAACUGAUUUCCAUGGCUUUCCAGGACACUUGGGAACAG